AAGCAGAUCUUUGUGAAGACACUCACCGGCAAGACCAUCACUCUCGAGGUUGAGUCUUCCGACACAAUUAACAAUGUCAAAGCGAAAAUCCACGAUAAGGAGGGCAUACUACCGGACCAGCAGCGCCUCAUCUUUGCAGGCAAGCAGUUUGAGGGCGGACGCACCCUUGCUGAUUACAACAUUCAGAAAGAGUCCACGUUGCACCUGGUAAUUCGCCUCUGUGGAGGCAUGCAAAUCUUUGUGAAGACCUUGACUGGCAAGAUCAUUACCCUAGAUGUUGAGUCUUCUGACACCAUUGACAAUGUUAAAGCCAGGAUCCAGGAUAAGGAGGGUAUCCCCCCGGAUCAGCAGCGUCUGAUCUUCGCCGGCAAGCAGCUCGAGGAUGGUCGCACUCUGACUGAUUACAACAUUCAGAAGGAGUCUACUCUCCACCUGGUGCUCCGCCUUCAUGGUGGCCAGUGA
rnacentral:rRNA from 1 species